rnacentral:rRNA from 1 species
UACGGAGGGGGCAAGCGUUACUCGGAAUUAUUGGGCGUAAAGGGCGCGUAGGCGGUCGUGUGCGUCGGAGGUGAAAUCCCCCGGGCUUAACCCGGGAGCUGCCUCCGAUACGGCAUGGCUUGAGUCCGGGAGAGGGGAGCAGAAUUCCCAGUGUAGCGGUGAAAUGCGUAGAUAUCGAGAGGAACACCAGUGGCGAAGGCGAGUCUCUGGACGACCCUGACACUGAGGCACGAAAGCUAGGGGAGCAAACAGG